ensembl:lncRNA
GCAGCAUGAUCAGUUCCCAGUAUCUGUCCCUUUGCAGCAGCUGCUACCAGGAACACUUGAACAGGGAAAGGCUGAAGCCCACUUUGCAGCGAUCCAUGGGCAAGAGAGAACUGAGGAUUUUUAUCAAGAUUCUUUACUGUUGGAUUUGAUAGGAUCCUGUGGAUAGCUAAAAGCAGGAAGCGAAUCAAGAAUGACGAUUAAUAUGAGGGAAGACAGCAGUUGACGGUUUGCUGAGCUGUACAGUUCCUAGCCACCAAGGUACUUACAGACUAAUCUUUAAACAUGUAAGUACACAGCGUGCUUAAACUUAAUGACAUGGUUAAAUACUUACUGAACUGUGAAUUUCAAAUUUAUCAUAAUUUUUUUUCAUUUAGUUAUUUUUUUGAAGACUGGGAAACUUACUUUCACUAUGUCUUAGAAUUUCAUAUUUGUUACUAUUCCAAUAGUAGCAGUAUCAUUUUAAAUCACUUUCAUAUACGAUAAGAUCUGUUAUUAUAAAUUAAGAUGUAUGAGAAUGUGAGAUUGAAUACCUAGGAUUAUAUAUAAUAAAGUAAAUAUUUAAGUAACUUUACAUAAAAAAGACUCACAAAAUAUCCUAUCAAAAUAGAAAUUGUUGUUAUUUUGUAAAUAUUUCUUUCAAAAGUGAUAUUUCAUGUUCACAGGACAUUAACACACAUUUUUGUUUCAUUUCAGAGAUGUGAAUCACAGAGAUUGACUCAAUAAUUAUUUGUAGUUUUCCUAAGCCUUAUUUAUAUACAAUCACCUCUUCAUUCCAGAUGCUCUACAAUUACAGAACAAAAAAAUAGUAUUUAGGGGCAGUCACAAUCUAAAUUAUUAAUUUCAAGAGGUUGGAAGGAUAAUUAGGUAAUGCUACUCUUUCACGUUGCUUGUUAGGCUAGAUUCUUCUGUAGCUUCCACCACUACAAAAUUAUGUUAAGUCUACCUCUUUCACAGUUAAUGUGCAAUAAUAUACAGAUUCUUCUUUUCCUGGUGACUAUAUUGUAUGUUUCUGUAGUUGCAGUACUAAAUUUUGCUUCUUCUAACAACUCUGUCCCAAUUUGUUUCAUUAUUAUUUCUUGUUAUAAACUUUCAUAGCAUUUUCACAAAUGAUUCAUUUUAGCCAGUAUCUACAAGACAGAAUAAAAGUUCAUUCAAAAGCAAAAAAUAAACUUUUCACAGAGCCACAGAAUUACAGAAUUGUAGGGGUUGGUGUAAGAGAUUAUUAUUUUAUAUGAUUGACUCAAAGUUUGCUGAGGAACAAGUCCAGGCAAGUCCUGGGCAAAGGCAGAGAAAUCUUCUGUCUGGAGGACACUGAUGGACAGGUCCUGGCUAAGGGUUGUGAAAUCCUUUAAGGAGCACAGAUGGACAAGUCCAGGGGCAACAACAGAGGGAUAAGGUGCUGGUAAUGGCCGGGAAACGAUAUUUUGUGUGGACUUGUCUCGAGGAAGAUGGCCAUCUCAGGAGGUGCACACAUGACUCUUGCUCAAGCGCUGAGGGAUGUCACAUAGGCAGGAAAAAAAGGAGGAUAAAAGAGGGUCCAACAACCAGGAGAAGAGAGGGGUUUUCUGCCAUCUGAUCUCUCACCACGACACACUGGAGAGGGUUUCUGCCAUCAGAUCCCUCACCACAACGGAGUCGAGGUUUCUGCCAUCAGAUCCUUCACUACGGACCGUAUGCUGACGGACUUCUCUGGGCCUGCUACCUGAGACCUGCUGCUUCCUCCCAGACUUACUCUGCAGCUUCUUCCUGGACCCACCCGGUACCUGCACCUUCUCGUUGCCCAAGACCAGCCUCGCUGCUCCUGCCGUUCGGCCUCGGACAGCCGGAACGUCGUGCAACGGGACUACUGCCGGAUCCUGGUGGUGACUAUCCCCGCUUUACGCAAUUCUUGCUUCUUUCUAUCUUUUCUAUCGCUCGCCUUCCCUUUCCCAUCACCCCAAUCCAUAAUAGUGUCCGUCCUCCCCUUUCUUCAUCUCCCUUAUUAACAUUUGUAAUAAAGUGGUCG